GAUGAACGCUGGCGGCGUGCCUAACACAUGCAAGUCGAGCGAGAAGCUCAUCACAGAUGCUUCGGUUGAAGUGAUGAGUGGAAAGCGGCGGACGGGUGAGUAACGCGUAGGCAACCUGCCCUUUGCAGAGGGAUAGCCUCGGGAAACCGGGAUUAAAACCUCAUGACACCUCUUAAAGACAUCUUUGAGAGGUCAAAGAUUUAUCGGCAGAGGAUGGGCCUGCGUCCGAUUAGCUAGUUGGUGGGGUAACGGCCUACCAAGGCGACGAUCAGUAGCCGACCUGAGAGGGUGAUCGGCCACAUUGGAACUGAGACACGGUCCAAACUCCUACGGGAGGCAGCAGUGGGGAAUAUUGCACAAUGGGGGAAACCCUGAUGCAGCAACGCCGCGUGAAGGAAGAAGGCCUUUGGGUCGUAAACUUCUGUUCUAAGGGAUGAUAAUGACAGUACCGGGAGAAUAAGCCCCGGCUAACUCCGUGCCAGCCGCCGCAGUAAAAC
rnacentral:rRNA from 1 species